ACCCCAUGGGGAGCUGUGAGCUGGGGGGACUUUCAGAGUCGCUCUGCAUUAAGAUGGAAAAAAGAAGCUUGGAGAAGGGGAAAUGACUUUACCCAGCUAAGAAUAUGGCAAAGCUGAGCCAACUAGUCAAGUUUUCUGACCCCAAAUCCUGUAUUUCCCAUGACUCAUCUUGUGGAAGGCUGAGGCCUCAGUUUCUCUGUCAGCACCAGAUGGGGACUUCUUCAGCCUGACACUCCAUAACUCAAGGUUGCACCCACAUCUCCUACCUUUGGGGGAAGGAGAGAGGGAUUAUGGGACAGUGGCAUCAAUCUCCUUCCCAGGAUGGAUCCUCUGAGCUCUAUAUUUCUUGCCUAUAGUGACCAGGGAAUUUUCCUCUAUUGAUUGCUUUCUGUAAUCGAGCUUAACAAAUAGAACUUCCCUCAAAUGAUUCUUCCAACUAAACUGAUAGAAA
rnacentral:lncRNA from 1 species